AUCCUCACAUGCUGGAAGAGCGGGAGAUAACCCACUCUUAUGACCUAAACACCUCACUCUAGGCCCCACCUCCCAACGCUCUUUCAUUGGGAAUUGAGUUUCAUCAUGAAUUUGGGAGGGUACAAAAACACCCAAACUAUAGCACCCUCCAAGAGGUUAUAGUAGCAGACUUGAGAAUGAUCACCUCCAGGUUUUAUAAAGAUUAAAUUUUCCUCAUUUUACUUCAGUGCUUUGUCCCCCAUGAGUAUGUUAGGUUGCUUUUAACUGUAUGUAAUGGAAAACCUGAUUAACAAUGUGGACUAUUUAUUGGUCUGGAGUGGGAGAUCUCAGUGAGUUUCUGAAAGACCCAGGCUCUCUCCAUCCUUCUGCACAGCCAUCCUCAGCUGGCUGGCUUUUUGUCCAUGGACUUGUAGUUUCAUGGUUAUAGAAUGGCUGCCACAGCUCCAGACAGCACAUCUUCACAUGCUGCAGCCAAAAGCAGGUAGCAGGGAAUAGGUUGCCAGAGUGGAAAGUGGAAAGAGAGCUGGACAUUAUGCACCUAUUUGUUUUUUGCAUCAGUAAGAAAUGUCUUUUCCAGAACCUCCUGCCUACACCUUUCUUCCCCUGAGACCUUCCUUUAUACCAAAUCAGCCACAUCUGGGUUACACUGGCAAAGCCUAGCUGCAAAGGAGGCUGGCAAACUGAGUAUCUGUCAUUUUUCAGAGUCAAUGGUCUGGUCUGUAAACUAGGAUUAAAUUUAACUGCAUGGAACAAACACCCGAAUGACAUUGGCUUAAACAGGAGAGGAACUUAUCUCUCACAUAAGGGAAGUUGUAGGGUAAAGGUGGGGUGGUGGACAAUCUGUGGUUGGUAUUGGCAGAUCCAUGAGGUUGUUAGAGGUCCAGGCCUUUUCCAGAUCUCUGCUCCCACAUCCUAAGGGUGUACUCCUUGCCCUCAGGGUCCAAGAUGGUCACUAGCCAUCAGCAGGGCUCCCUUUAUGGAUUUCCUAGAAGUCUCACGGGGCACUUGUGCUUUGUAUCUUAUUGGCAAGAACUUGGUUGCAAAGGAAGCUGGGAAAUGUAGUUUUUAUUCACGGUGGCCGUAUGCCAAAAUAAAACUCAGGAUUUUGUUACUAAGGAAGAAGAUUGUGUCUUACGUUGGGUAUCCUAGAAGCAGGCCCGGAAACAAAGAUUGUUCACAGAAGAAAUGCUCCUAGAAGAAUUCAAUAAGGAGCUAGAAGGAUAGCCAUGCAAGGAUCUCAGCUAGUUAUAUGACAGGUAGUUUCAGCCUGACCUGAAGGGGAGCUCUCAACUGUAAACGAUGCCUCUGAGAUGUCCCUGCCCCAGGCAGGGUAUCUGGGCUUCCAUUCUUCUAUGCCUGUCAGCCACUGGCUAAGAGCCAGCCUUGUUGAUAACCCAGGUACUUCAAUCUUUCUGUAGGUGGGCAUAAAAGGGCAGUAGUACAAGAACAGCCCUCCCAGAAGAGCUGCAGGAGCCUCAGGUCAGAAGCAAAAGUAUGCCAAGUGGAAGGGGCAGACUCAGAGAAAGGGAUCCAGGAAUCUCUGCAGAGCCCCAGUGGGGUCCCUGUAGGGAUAAUGCCUAGUGGGAAGGAAGUAGCCACCUCUGUCACUGAGGCGAGGAGGGGAAGGGUGGGAAUGGCUGAUAGUGGCCAACAGGCAGCCUGUGCAGCAUGUGUGCAGUUCUUGCCUAUGAGAUAGUGAGAAUCAUGGAAAGUCAUAAGCAAGAGGGAAGACAGAAAAGACCGGGAGACCAAGUGCUGCUGUGUGAGCUCCGGGCGCUCUUCCAAGUUUAGGUGUUUUAAAUAGUGACAGCAGUUACAAUGGGGGCAAAUUGAUGCUGAUCAGGAACACAUGUAGACAUUUAAUUAUAGUAUUUGUUUUAUAAACAGGGAUUUUCUGGAACACAAGAGUAUUUCCUUUGCAAGAACUGUCCAUAUUCUUUGCCCACUUACCUGUGGGAUUGUUGGAUUACUGGUUGAUUUGUAGAAGCUCUUUCAAUACGAGGGAAAUCAGGCCUUGGUCUGUCAUGGGUAUCCCUGUUUUUUCUCAGUUCAUAGAUUUUGUGUGUUCACAGAUUGUUCUUCCUUGCCACGUACUAUGUCGGGAGUGAUAUUGCUAACUGUUCACCACAUUCUCCAAAAGACCUGUCAUCAUAUCCCACCCCCAGCCCAGGGCUGCUGGAAGACUGUGCCACAUGGGAGGGGAGGAAAGUAUCAGCCAGCAGGUUCUGCUGCAGCCUCUGCACAGAAGCAGAUGUGUCCCCACAAGGGUGUCAUGAUAUAUUAUGUUCCCUAGUUCCUUAGUCAUUGCUCAGGUUAUCAUGAGCAUUUUAGAGAACUUACUUUGUGUUUAAGAAACCUGGUGGUAUAUAAAGCUAUAAUGACUUUUAAUCAUAUGAAAAGAUAGUACAGACUGUGAGAAGGGAAAUUGACAUGACCUGUUUGGUGGACUAUGUGCAAUAUCUAUUGAAAUUAGAAAUGCAUAUGGCUUUGACCCAGCAAUUCCACCUUGAGAGUUUAUACUAACAAUACAUUCACACAUGUACAUGAAGAAGUAUGUGCAAGGAUGUUCAUUUCCACAUAUGGAUUGUAAACUCCUCCACGGAGGUGACACUGAAUGUCUCAUUUUCUUCUCUAUCUUCCCUAGAACAGUGACUGGCACACAAUAGGCGCCAAUACAGAUUUUUUUUUUUUAAUAAUGAAGAGUUAAGGGCUGGGAAAACCCCCGUGUUUCAUGGUUGAAUAAUUAUGGUACCUCCAUAGAAUGGAAUAUUGUACAAUCAUGAAGAAGAGGUAUAUUGAAGUGUGUGUGAUACUGAACCAUCUCUAAGGUAUAAUGUUAACAGCAAGGUGUAGAGUAGGGCAAGUAGUAUGCUGCUGUUUGUUUAAAAAGAAAAAAAAUAACAUACAUAGAUGUGGAAAUAUGCAAAAACAGUCUCUGCGAAGGUUUACAAGAAUUGCCCAUAGAGGUUGAGAGAGAAACUCUUCACCAUAGGCUGUCUUUUGUGGGGGUUGCUUUUUUCAUGUGUGUAUAAUGUAUGUUACCUAUUCUAAAUAAGUAAAUAAAUGAGGUGCUGUUUCCGAGUGCACUUCAAUCAGUUUCUCCUCUGGUAGGGAAGACCGCCACAGGAGCUUUCCAGUUCUGUGGUUCCGCGUUGCCAGAGCAAGCCUGCUUUGCUUGUUGUGUAGUUCCGGCUUGUCUCCCUUUCUCUGAGUCUUGCCUUGCCACACUCUUUUUUGCCUCGGACCUAGUCAUGUUUCCUCACAUUGAAACUUCCAGGGAAGGAGCUGCUGAGCAGAUGCAUACUGUAGUGUCAGUGGCUAUCAUGGCUCACUGCAUUGCUCAUCUCGGAAGUAUUGUUAUUUAAAUAGGGACAAGGUCUUGAACCAAGAUACCUAAGUUCUGACUGAGCAUAUUGCAGCACUGGCUCCUGUGCCCUAUGCUAGGUAGAGGUAUCCAGCAGCCCCUGAACAGCUGUACUUGCACCCCUCCUAUCCUCUUGACUACAUAAAGAGGCCAGAGAGCAGAGAGAAAGGGCUCUGAGAGGCAUUGGCUGUUUAUUUUCCUUGUCUUGACCAACUUGGGCUACCAUAACAAAAUACCUCAGACUGGGUGGCUUAAACAACAGAAAUGUGUUUUCUUAUGAACUGGAAGCUGGGAUGUCCAAGAUCAAGAUGCCGGCUGAUUCAGUUCCUGCUGAGGCCCCUCUUCCUGACGUGGCCUGGAACAGUGUGCUCACACAGCAGAGAGGGAAGCAGCAAGCCUCUAUGUCUCUUCUUAUAAGGAUGCUAAUCCCAUCAUGGGAUUAGGAAUUAUGGUUAGACUUCAUCUAACCCUAAUCGCCUGCCAAAGGCCCCACCUCCAAAUAUCAUCACAUUGGAGGUUAGGGCUUCAACACAUGAACUGGCGGGGAUGCAAUUCAGUCUAUAGCAAACCCCUCCCAGAGGGCCUGGGAUGUGUCUUCCCGGCAGAUGAGAGGACUGGGCAUGAGGAGACUGGGUGGUUGGCUGUGGAGAAAGAAGUGCAUAGUGACACUGCCAUCCUGGCUACCUUUGGCCACCCCAGCUUGUGGAAUGUAAGAAGGCCCAGGAACCAGUUCCUAUGCACCUCAGGCCCCAGGUUUUCUUAGCCAAGCCCUGAGAAUACAUCAAGAACAGGUGAGGGCAUGUGGACGCAGGUGUGCGGGGGGGCCUCCCAGCAGCUGUCCCUGCUUCCUGCUAAUGCUGCUCUGAUUUUCGCCUUUGCUCACGUCUCUCCGGUGCUGCUGAACACACCCCGUUCUGGCAAUCUGACUGGAGAGAGACAGUGUCACUGUGGUGGGCUCAGGGAUAGACUCGGGACCCUAUUUGGACAAGUAAGUCAGGAGAAGCGGUUGGUGGAGUCUUGGAGGGAAGUUGUCUUGCUCUUCUGAGCGUGUGUGCUCUCGCUUCCUCUGCCGUGCGUGUGAGAGGAAGCCUGUGCCCCAGAAGCUGGUGGUGCCAUCUUGCCUCCUCAGGAAAGAGGGCUCAGGAUGGUGUCGACUCAGUGGAAGGCAGAGAUGAAGCUCGGAAAGAAACCAGGCCCUUGGGGGUGUUACUAACCCACUGGACUGUGACCCAUUUGAAGCCUGCCCUGUCUCUAGACUUUGUUGUAAGAACCAGUAGCACAGUGGCUCAGAGAGUGGACUUGGAGCCAGGCUGCCCACUUUGUAGCCCAGCUUGACCUGUGUGAUCCGAGAAUAAUCUUGUUUAAUCUCCACGAGUUUGAGGACUAAACUGGGUGCCAGAGAGAAGUUAAGUAACUUGCUGAGAUUGUGUCAGUAACACGGGAGCAGGGAAGAGAUUCAGGCUCAGGGAGCCUGGUUGGACUUCAGACCCCUGUGAGGCUGACUCUAUAGUCCUAGAGAAACUCAACAGCCAGGAACUUAGGACCAUUUGUGUGUGGCAUUUGGGCUAACCAGAUUGGUGGCUUCUAAAGAAGAUGGAAAGCAUCAAGUUUCCUGUAUUUAAAUUAUUUGGUGAUCUCAAUACUGGUUGUUGGCCAAAGUACACAAUGGAGACAGGCUAUUUGCUCUACUACUUUUGAUGUAGAAAUAUUACUAAGCUUGAGCUGAUUAAUAGAAGUGUUAGACAUUUCUGUGCUCCCCUUACCAGUGGCAUGAAACAAUUCUUUUAAAACCUGCCAUGUGUUCACAUUUAAAACUAAAAGUAAUUUAGAUUACAUGGAUUUGAGAAGCCCAUGUUGACACAUAAUUGCCAACAGAUGGGUUUUCAAAUGUAAUGAAGUAAAAAUGGUCAGUACCCCAUGUGUUGGAUUUUGCAGUUUUCCAAAGUAAGCCCUCAGUUUUGGCAUGUCAUGCUAGUUAAGAACACAAUGUAUUUAUAGCUCAAUUAUACAUUUUCUGAUGAA